GGCCUUCUCCAGGUCAUCCGCCUUUCUUCUUUCUCCCACUCCCCAAGCGAAACCGCCGAGUGGAUGAUGGAUCGAGUUCGGCCCAGUAAUGAAGCGGCGGAGAUUCACGGCCGCUGAGCGUCGCCGGCGGCCGGAGAGGAGGAGGUAGUAGAUGCCGCGCGCAGAUCGGCGGCGGUGUUGGCGUCCCUUUUACCGCGCCCGCGAUGCGUGGGGGACGUGCGCGCGGCGGCCGGGAAGAGGAGGCCCCGGAGGCUUCCUCCGUAACGUUCGGGGGCUGUUGGACGAGCACACAAGAUGCAGGGAACCACUAGUGAAGAGCCUCCCAUAAAAUGACCCCGGUGCGAUACCGGUCACGACAACAGGCGCGUUGCUUCGUUGGAGCGUAACCAGGCUCUUCACCACCGUGUUGAAGUCAUUGCCAGGGAGGUCGUUGAGGAGGACGCACACUUCGGGUGUUGGUUGUUGAAACUCAAGGCAGUGGCUGUGGAUGGCCUUGACGGCAAUGGAGACCAGUGCUAGCGCGUUUGGGCCAGAGGAGCAUCCCAAGUCUGCGAUCAACAUCUUUCCGGGCAACAAGGUGCUGCAUAAGUCAACUAUGGCAUCUUCUAUCAGGUGCUUCAUCCUGUUCUGCUCGGUGCUCUGCAGUCAACUUGUACUUCAGAAAACCUCGUUUUAUCAUUUCCAAUUUUUCAUCUUCUUUUUCCAUAGUGUACUAUUUGUUUAAAUGUCAGAGAUAUAAUAAGCUACAUGAUGGACGAGUUCUCGAGGAGAUCACAAUCUUCAGAUGCAUAGUGACAGACGAACAAACAGUACUAGGAA